rnacentral:ncRNA from 1 species
UAUUUAUUUGGUUUUGGUUAAAUAAAGAAUUAAUAUUAAAACUAUCAUAAAAAUUUUAUCUAAGGGGUCAAUGUUUAAAUAAAUUUUAUUUUAGUGGUGAAUUUUUUUAUAAAAACGAAAGUUUGUUUAAGUUAAUAUUUUGAAGGGGUAAAUAGUAGGUGCCAGCAACUGCGGUUAUACCUAUUCUUAUCUUUAUUUUUGGGCAAAAUAUAAAUUGAUAAAGUAUAAAAAAAUCUUUUUAUUCGGUUAAAUGAUAAAAGUAUUUUAUUCUAAAUAUAUUUAAUUAAAUUGUGAAACUCAUUUCAAAAACCAAGAUUAGGUACCUUGUUAUUAGUGAGUAUAAAUAAUAAAACCCAGAGUACUAGAUAAACGAAACUCAAAAGACCUGGCGGUGGAUGUCUUCCUAUCAGAGGAGUGUGCUGAGUAAUAGAUAAUCCGCUAAGUAAUAAACCUAUAUUUUUAAGUCAGUGUACGGCCGCUUACAGAUAAUUUUCUUAGAAGGCAUUAAUUAUCAAUAUUUUCUAUUCUCUAGUUAAGACAGGUCAAUGUGCUGCUGAUAUAUAGGGUUGGGGUGCGCUAUUAAAACGCAGGAUAAAAGAAAAAAGGUUGUAAAACGUUUUAGAAUUCAGAUUUGAUAGUAAUAUAGCAAUAAAUUCAUGCUUAUGAACUUAGGUAAAACUCUGUGUACACAUCGCCCGUCGUUCUUUUCGAAAGAAAAGAGAAGUCGUAACAUGGUAGUCUUAAUAGAAAUUGAGACUUAAGGGAU